GAUGAACGCUGGCGGCGUGCCAAUUCAUUGCAAGCGGGGCAACGGGCGAGAAACUUUCUUCCCUUGUUUUAGCGGCGGACGGGGUAGUUACACGUUGGUAACCUACCUAUAAGACUGGGGUAACUUUGGGGAACCGGGACUUAUACCGGGUAAUAUUUUUAACCGCAUGGGUCAAAAGUGAAAGACGGUCUUUCCUUUACUUAUAGGUGGAUCCGCGCUGCAUUAGCUAGUUGGUAAGGUAACGGCUUACCAAGGCAACGAUGCAUAGCCGACCUGAGAGGGUGAUCGGCCACACUGGAACUGAGACACGGUCCAGACUCCUACGGGAGGCAGCAGUAGGGAAUCUUCCGCAAUGGGCGAAAGCCUGACGGAGCAACGCCGCGUGAGUGAUGAAGGUCUUCGGAUCGUAAAACUCUGUUAUUAGGGAAGAACAUAUGUGUAAGUAACUGUGCACAUCUUGACGGUACCUAAUCAGAAAGCCACGGCUAACUACGUG
rnacentral:rRNA from 1 species